rnacentral:ncRNA from 1 species
UCUUAUCAAGAGUGGUGGAGGGAAAAAGGCCCUAUGAAGCCCAGCAACCGGCUAAUUUAUUAGCAAUGGUGCCAAUUCCUGCAGAGUUUCUGCAAGAUAAGA